ensembl:lncRNA
GUCAUACCUCCAGUGAAUUUAAAAUAGAAGUGGAAUUAUAAGUGAUAUUGAAGAGCAAAUCUAUUGCAUAAUGCAAUGCCUUCAAGUUUAUUUUUCCUUUUCAUGUGGUUGUUGGCAAAUAUCUGCAAUGAGAAAGAGGAUCAUCCUUUUGGGAGGCUUCCCUUUGUGUUUCUCAAUGUUGCAGAAAUAAACACACAACUUUAAUUUGUUCCCCAAAGGAAAAGAUAAUAAAAAAAAAAACACUCAAAACUAGCCAGAGUUGCUGGAAGAGCCAGGAAAUAGCUUUUGUGGUUGGUUAGUUUGUUUUUCUUCGUAGUUUUCCGGGAAAUAUAAUCAAGACAGUAGCUGCCCUUUGGGGUAGCACGUUCAUUCCGAGGGCCAAAGAGUUUGAUGUAUUUGCUGAAACUGGCUCAUAUUCUGAGCACAUCUCUCUGUCGGAGCUCAUGGCACCCCCCAGGGCUGAGCUCAGAGCCAUGGCUUGAACAAGUCAAGGGCGUCAUUCUAAGGAAAGCAGGACAGCUGAUAUCAAACUUGGUUAGAAGUAACAUAGUCUGCUGAAUUCUACCUUGAGCCCAAACAGAUUCCCAGACAUCAGAGAAUGUACCUAAACUGCUGAGUGGACAAGAAGAGUCAAUUUGCAGUUUUGUUGUGUGGGGCUGAAAGAGAAGGGAGGAAGUUUAGUGACCACUGGUGAGGUGAAAAUGAAAAGCCAGCAUGGGAUUUGUUCCCUACCUGGCACCUUAGCUUGGUGUUUGAGCCCUACAGGAAAGAGCCUGAGCCAAAGCUGUAGGAUUGGUCUUCAUAAAGGACUCUGGGAGACCUGAGGGAGGAAUAGCAUGCUUAUGUCUCCAAGGGACCAGUGUGACACAGGCUGCUGGACAGAUAUGCCAGAACCUAGCACCCCUCUGGCCCUCCUGGAUUGGCAGCUAUAGCCCCUAGAUAUAGUUGCCUUGGCUUGAAUGUUGGAAUUCUGACUGUAGUGGCCAGAAGUUGGGGGAAUGGGGAAGCACCCUCAAGAGGCUUUGUGGACAGAGGACAUUGGAUGGGGCUGGGGCCAGAGAAAGGCGAAUGAACCAAGGGGAAUCUGUGGGUCUUUGUUAAAACAGGUGGAAGGUCCUCACUGAGCAUGUGGCAAGAGGAGUCAGUAAAAUUUGGAUUACAACAUUUAGGUGAACCCCUCUGUACCCAAGAAAAUCUAGAGUUGAAAUUACACCUCACCUAUCAGGCUGUGGUUUUCAAACUGUGCCCCAUAGCAGCCUAAGUGUUCUGAGACGACCCCUGGGAGAGACUUUGAGAUUGGGGGAGUAGCUCAUGGCAGGUUCUGGGCCUUCCACCACCAGCUCAACCACAAUAGUCACUAUUUCAUCGAUUUUGCCUAUGGUGAGAAAGUUUUCAUAACUUAACAAAAAGGUCUUCAUAGCUUCUUAGAAAGGUCUUGAACAGCCCUACUCUAGGGUGCUCUUGACUAAGUCUGGUGACUUGAACACAGUAGAUUUUCAGUGGAUUCUAUAUUUAUUUGUAUAUGCAGACUAACCAAAAGGGAAUUGAAAGUAAUAAUUUUUCAUUAAUGGAUGAGACCGGAGUAAGUGAUUUAUUUCUAAAAUAUAUUGAAAAGAACAAACCAAUUAAAAUAUUAAGUGUUGGGACUACUGUUUUAUUUCUUUUGCACACACCAGAAAUGAACUAACACAAAUCUUAAUGUGAGACAUUUAUAUUGAUUCUUAUCAUUGGAAGUAAGGAAGAUAGCGAAAAAUCAUGAAUACAUUUGGUGUUAACUGUAUUUCAGAGUUAUUGCUGGUGGUAUGUGUCUGUGGAACAGUUGUUGGCUAAUUUUCCAUAGCAACAAAGAAUAACAACUGACUCAUAAAUUGUGUUUCUGUAUGCCUUUUGCUUAAUAGAGAUGAUUAUUGAUUUUAAAAAGGGAGUUUGAAAAGAUUAAAACUCCAUUAAUAAAUAAAAACUGUCUGAAUGUUAACAGCUUUGAAUGUCACUAGCCUGACCCUUCAUAACACUCAGACUUAACAAGUAUUUUCCUCCAGGCAGAAGGUCUCAAUGAAAAUAGCUUUGAAAAUAGCAGUACACUUUGAGGCACAACUAAAGACUUGGCUAAUUGUUUUUCUCUAUGGUAAGUUGAUGGACCGUUUGCAAGAAGCUACCCAUUUGUGUAACUGUGUCUGACCAGAUGGGCCUGCUCCAGGGCACAGCAUUCUUUUGAGGGCCAGUCAAAGCUAGCCAGAUCAACACAUUUCUAAAAGGCCUAGUCAUAAAUCUAUCAAAUCACCUCUGACUUGAGUUCAGCUGCUGAGCACAUAAAAGCAUAUGAUCUUCUAGAAUGUUCUUGGGAACUUUACUUGGAAGACUUUGAAAGGUAGAUAAAAUUCACUUUUCGUCUCCUCACUUGAUAAGAUUUCUUCAUUUCGUUUAACACAGGUCAUAGCUCUAAGGAACUGUUCUGAAAGGGGGGUUAGCAUUACCUAGAAUUCCAGAUUAGAGCCAGUGACACCACAAGCUGGGGGGACAGGGGGUAACUUGAAUCAGAAUAUAUGGACCAGACGCAGCCUUCCCUGUGCAGCGAUAGGCCAGUCCAAGAGACGUGGCACAACCACCGUCUGUUUCCAAGCAAGUGAGGUGAUCCAGCAGGGGCUGAUCAGAAGGGGCCAAAUGGGAAUCCAGUUUCAUGAGUUCUUGGCAGCCGCGAAGCUCACUGUUAGAGGUAGACUGAAAUGCUAACAGGAACCAGCCAGCUCCAUGUGAGGCGUGAGACUGGGAUCAGACCCAAGUCCUGGGAAACUGAACUGGCAGCAACCAGCUAGGCGGCUGGAACACAGGCUAGGCCUACCUCGAUGCCAAAGACCAGGGCAGAAGGGACCAAGCAGACAGCCUGGCUAAUCAUAGGCUUCUCUUUUUUCUAUUUUACAG